AUGGUUGGGAUCCCGAAAGAAACUUUCUGCUUCCUACCGGCGCUGUGGGGAGGCCUCCAGAGGAACUUUCUGCUCCCUGUUGUGGUCAGGGGGUUCCUCAGGGGCUUUGGGGCGGCCGGGAGCAGAAGGGUGACAAUGGGGUCUUUGAGAGACCCUACAGCUGUGCAGUUGCUGAUGGACGAUGCCGGAGCCCCGACAAGCGUGGUUUUGUCUGGGGCUGCCUUCAGGGCUGUGCGUGACCCCCAAAACAGGGUCACCCUCCCAUCCCCCAGCACUGCCCUUGCCAUGCUCCAAGCAAGGCUCACUUCCAUCACCACAGCUCAACCUCCAGCCCCUUUGCUCCCAAACUUCUCCCCCCACAGUGCACCCCACGUGCUGCACCCCACGCAGCAGCGUGACUGCAGGGUCCCCCCAUGCAGUGUCAGGCUCUCCCUUUUUGUCCCCACACUUCACUGUAUGAUGGCCUCGAAGUGGGGAGCAGAGCCCACCCCGCCUGCCAGGCCCUGUAGCCNNNNNNNNNNNNNNNNNNNNNNNNNNNNNNNAGGAAUGCUUACGUGGUAUGUGGAGCAGCAGGACGCCAGCAGGUUUGCAAGCUUUGAAGCUGAGCCUGCAAUGAGCUGUGUGUGCAUUGCAUGGCUUUGGGACUUAGGGCUUUCCAGUGCGCCGUACCCCAUAGCGUGUCCCAUGGCACCAAACCGUGUCCCUCUCUCAAUCCCAAAGAGCACAGCCAGGGGAUCCCACUGGGAUCCUCCCUGCAGGGCCACACAUGGGGUGUCUGCAAGGCAAGUAGCAGCACUGGGGUGUUGCACUGUGGGAUUCAGCCCGCGCUUGGAGGUCUGGGGGCUGCGGGUGAUUUGCUGUGGGUCUGUGCACUACGGCUCUGAGAUUCGGGGGCGGGCAGACAGCUGCACUGAGACCCCCGUAGGAGGGCUGGAACCUGCCUGCUGUCUGCACCGUGCACCUUUGGGCUGGGCUGGGCCCUGGGUAGAAGGGCUGCGGGCUGGGAGGGGCGGCGGGCAGGCAGGCAGGCAGGCAGGCAGGCAGGCAAGGCACGACUUGCUGUCAGGCAUGCAAAGCAAUUGGCGGGGGAAACGCAGGGCUUUCCUGCUGGCAUGGCUUGUUUGCUGCUUGCUGUGCCGGCACCCAGAGCUGGGAGGGGGCAGUGGGGUGUGA
rnacentral:lncRNA from 1 species